UGGGCUGUAGCUCAGUGGUAGAGCGUCUGCCCCGCAUGCACACGUGAGGCACUGGGUUUGAUCCUCAGCACCACAU
rnacentral:tRNA from 1 species